rnacentral:rRNA from 1 species
GAUGAACGCUGGCGGCGUGCCUAAUACAUGCAAGUCGAGCGAACAGACGAGGAGCUUGCUCCUCUGACGUUAGCGGCGGACGGGUGAGUAACACGUGGAUAACCUACCUAUAAGACUGGGAUAACUUCGGGAAACCGGAGCUAAUACCGGAUAAUAUACUGAACCGCAUGGUUCAAUAGUGAAAGACGGUUUUGCUGUCACUUAUAGAUGGAUCCGCGCCGCAUUAGCUAGUUGGUAAGGUAACGGCUUACCAAGGCGACGAUGCGUAGCCGACCUGAGAGGGUGAUCGGCCACACUGGAGCUGAAACACGGUCCAGACUCCUACGGGAGGCAGCAGUAGGGAAUCUUCCGCAAUGGGCGAAAGCCUGACGGAGCAACGCCGCGUGAGUGAUGAAGGUCUUCGGAUCGUAAAACUCUGUUAUUAGGGAAGAACAAAUGUGUAAGUAACUAUGCACGUCUUGACGGUACCUAAUCAGAAAGCCACGGCUAACUACGUG